UACGGGGGGAGCAAGCGUUGUUCGGAUUUACUGGGCGUAAAGGGCGCGUAGGCGGCCACCGCAAGUCGACUGUGAAAUCUCCGGGCUUAACCCGGAGCGGUCAAGUGAUACUGUCGUGCUAGAGUGCGGAAGGGGCUACUGGAAUUCUCGGUGUAGCGGUGAAAUGCGUAGAUAUCGAGAGGAACACCUGCGGCGAAGGCGGGUAGCUGGGCCGACACUGACUGAUGCGCGAAAGCCCGGGGGAGCGAACGG
rnacentral:rRNA from 1 species